AACUUUCAGCAGUGGAUGUCUAGGCUCGCACAUCGAUGAAGAACGCUGCGAACUGCGAUACGUAAUGCGAAUUGCAGGAUUCAGUGAUCAUCGAAUUUUGAACGCAUAUUGCACU